CAGUGAGUCAUUUGAGCGGUUUUAGAUAUGAAAUCGCCUAUCGCCUAACCCGUAACCAUAAUGGUCUGCGACUUCGAUUCCUCCAUCAUAUGGCCUAGAGUAACCGACCGUUGUCACACAAAGAAACAUCGUUGGUGGCUGAAUAAACAGCCACACAACCAACACUUGAACUGGAGAUUUUCCCACCUCCCACCCACUUCAAAAUCUUCGUCUAAAUGAAUACAGGACUGGUUGAAAUGAAGGUGAAAUGGCUCAGAAUUCUCUUGAUCCAAACUGGCAAACUCUCCAACUUACUGUUAUAGGAUGAAAAUCAUAGAAAGCCCCUGGUUACAAGCAAGCACAUACGUGAGUGUUCAACCAGAUGAGGAAUGUUACUUUUAUGUUGUGCAGUAUUUCUAGUUUGCUAUUUACUUAAUACUCUGCUUCUGAUGCUUAGCCAAAUCUUCUGAAAACUUGGGACCUCUUUGGGGAACUAUUUUUUGUUCUCUAGAACAAAAAAUAUCGAAAACAUAUUUAAUAAUUAAAAAUUGGUUUCUGUUUUCUA